rnacentral:rRNA from 1 species
UACGUAGGGGGCAAGCGUUGUCCGGAAUCAUUGGGCGUAAAGCGCGUGUAGGCGGCUCGGUAAGUCCGCUCUGAAAGUCCAGGGCUCAACCCUGGGAUGCGGGUGGAUACUGCCGGGCUCGAGUCCGGAAGAGGCGAGUGGAAUUCCCGGUGUAGCGGUGAAAUGCGCAGAUAUCGGGAGGAACACCGGCGGCGAAGGCGGCUUCCUGGCCCAAUACUGACGUUCAGGUACGAAAGCGUGGGUAGCAAACAGG